UACAGGGGGUGCAAACGUUGCUCGGAAUUAUUGGGCGUAAAGCGCGCGUAGGCGGCUACUUAAGUCGGAUGUGAAAGCCCUUGGCUCAACUGAGGAAGUGCACCCGAAAUUGAGUAGCUGGAGUACGAAAGAGGGUCGCGGAAUUCCCGGUGUAGAGGUGAAAUUCGUAGAUAUCGGGAGGAACACCGGUGGCGAAGGCGGCGACCUGGGUCGAUACUGACGCUGAGGCGCGAAAGCGUGGGGAGCAAACAGG
rnacentral:rRNA from 1 species